GACGAACGCUGGCGGCGUGCUUAACACAUGCAAGUCGAACGGAAAGGCCCUGCUUGCAGGGUGCUCGAGUGGCGAACGGGUGAGUAACACGUGGGUGAUCUGCCCCUUACUUUGGGAUAAGCCUGGGAAACUGGGUCUAAUACUGGAUAGGACCAUGCUGUAGGUGGUGUGGUGGAAAGAUUAGUUUCGGUAAGGGAUGAGCUCGCGGCCUAUCAGCCUGUUGGUGGGGUAAUGGCCUACCAAGGCGUCGACGGGUAGCCGGCCUGAGAGGGUGGACGGCCACAUUGGGACUGAGAUACGGCCCAGACUCCUACGGGAGGCAGCAGUGGGGAAUAUUGCACAAUGGGCGCAAGCCUGAUGCAGCGACGCCGCGUGGGGGAUGACGGCCUUCGGGUUGUAAACUCCUUUCAGCCAUGACGAAGCCCUUGUGGUGACGGUAGUGGUAGAAGAAGCACCGGCUAACUACGUG
rnacentral:rRNA from 1 species